GGGCCAGGAAUCAGAUCCAAGCAGCAGUUGCGACCUAUGCCGCAGUUGCGGCAACACUGGAUCCUUAACUCACUGUACUUGGCCAGGGAUCCAACCUGCGUCCCUGCACUCCAAAGAUGCUGCCGAUCACAUUGUGCCACAGCAGGAACUCCUGGAAACUACUCUUAAAAGAAAUACCACUGAUUAUCAAAGAUUUUCUAAUGGGGCAAAAUUACCAAUCUGGGAAUAAUCAGAUGAUUUUAAAGUAAAAAGAAUGAAUAUGUCUUUAUGUAUGACUAGGUCACUUUGUAGUACAGCAGAAAUGAUCACAACCUUGAAAAUUAUACUUCAAAAAAACUUAAAAAAAUAAAACAAUUUUUUAAAAAGUAAAAAUGACUGCCUUACAUUCACAAGGAAGCAUCCAACAGAAAAUCUCAAAGUGCCUAACAAUCAUGAUGAUUUUUUUUUUUCUAAUUUCCCCACAAAGGGGACAUGGGAGUUGAGACAUAGGGUAUGACAUCUUAAAAUCCAGAGUAUGAAUGAGGCCUCUUGGUCAAGCCUAAACCAUCUGGGCUGGAGACAACCAUGCAGAUAUGUUGGCUGACUUUCUGCUGGGUCCAAGAGGCACUCCAGGCCUUAAGAGAAUCCCCAAAUCUCAGCACUUAAAUAGAAAGCUUCAGGGCUCUGGAUUUUACACAGCUGUCUUGGAGAUUCCAGUCUUUUUGUCCUUGGUUUCUAAGAAUUCCCAGUGGGAUGUUAAAAAGGCUUAAUAUCAAAUUUUUAUGAAUUUGUUCAGUGAGUGGUUUUUCAGAGUUCUCUGUAAGCAGUCAGACAUGCUCAGAGUCUCCAGGGAGAGAGAAGUCUCUUGCAUAUUCUCCCUAAAAUUCUAAUCAAAAGCUCAUGCUUCGUAUACCCAGCCAGGAAAUGUUGGCAUAAACCAUAAUAGCCAUGAAUACCAAGGUGCCCUGGCAUGUACUAGGGCCAGACAAAUCAGGCAGCACUGUACAACCUCAGACACUAGAACCUGACCAGAUACAUCUGAACCCUUGCUCCACUACUUACUAGCUGUAUAACCUUGGGUGAGUUACAUUUCUGGCUUUAGUCUUCUCAUCUGUAAAAUGGACAUAAGUACCUAUCUCAUGGGGGUUUUUUGGUAAAAAUCAAAUAAAUUAAUAUUCAUAAUUAAUAUGAAUAUUAAUAUUAAUUCAUUCAUUAAUAUGCACAUAGUACUAAAAAAAGUUAUUUUAAAUGUGAUCACCCCACAUAAACACUGGCACAGGAAAAUGAAUGGACCAUUUGUGACCAUAAAGCAAAUCAUUUAAAAUUUUUGACACCAAAAGGGGUCUUCAAGGCCACCUUUUAAGCAAUUCCAGGGGACAGUUCACAUGUUUCUGAAAAUGGUGCUUCUGGAAUUACGCAGCUUGAUCCUGGUAUGCUUUGUAAAUUUCUCUCUGUGGUUUCCCAGGGUCAUGCUUUUGUUGUUUUGUUGUGUUGCUUCUUUUUUCUUCACAAAUAAUGAAUAUUUUUACUCUUAUGGUUUGUAUUGAUUUCUUCUGGCACCAGUAAGUAGAAUGCAAUUUAUCCUAGGACACUUGAAAAAGAGAACAAGUAUAUUCUUUUCUCACUGGUUACUUCCAGAUCUAAGACUCCUGUGUGGUUAGAAGUGCAGCAAAUUAACAUAUGAAACCAAGUGAUUAAGUCCCUUUAGAAUUGGAUGGAAAACUUAUCUAAAUUGUUGUUGUUGCUGCUACAUACUGCUAACCUGUGUGGAAGUGCCAGUCCUUUAAAAUGAUCUUUCAGUUUUGUUUUUUUUAGAUGAACAUCAAACCAGCUAGUAAUUAUUGAACACGUACUAUGUGUAAGGCACUCCAUGGAUAUGAGAUUACAAAACAGGCAUUCUUGAGAGCGUGAGCAAGCCCUAUGUUAAGCAUGCAAAUCAUGCUUUUUACUUUUUUCCCUCAGAUUUUUAAAUGCACUUUGUUCAGAAAAUAUAGGAAUAUAACAUGCGGAGAACAGAAAUCCGUUUCAAUGGAAACUGGGUCUAUUUAUGAAAAUAUGCAAAUUUGCUCAUAAAAUAAAUCCUUAAACAAAUAAACAAAAAGGCCCAGAUAGAUGCAAAAUACUGGGGCAGAGAAACACCUAGCUUUUCUUUAGGAUUUCCACCUAUAAGUGUUUACAGCCAGAGGCCUGCCAAAAGGGCUAAUUCCUGAGCGGAGUUUUCCAAACUCUUACAAUAGCAACAUCACCUAUCUCUUCUGCCUUCCACGGGGAAAAUUUCUGCCAAACGAGCUCUGUUGCCACCGUCUGUCUAUGCUCUGCCCAGCCUUUCCCCAGCCUUUGUCAUUUGGCCAAGUUAACACAAAACCAGCUCACAUUUACUGGUGUUAAGCAUUUUUUCCAUGCAUAUCAAUUCAUUUUUUUUCCCCGGUACAACAAAGUGGGUUCUCCUAUUUUACAGAUGAGGAAACGGAGGUACCCAGAGAUUAAGAGCUGAGCCAGAAUUCAGACUUGGACUAAUUAGCUGUUAAGCUUGUGGUCUCUUAACCCACCUGUUUUUAUGUUGAUGCAAGGCAGUGAGUGGUCUCCCUGGGGAUAAGACUCACUGGUGGAGGGGGCAAGUUUCACAUCCUAAUUUUUGCAUCUAAUUUAAUAAAGUUUCAAACUUUUAGGGGAACAGAAAAAGACUCCCUCUAAUUGAGCACCUGAGUUUAAUAAAUAACUUCCCACAAAGUUGGUUUCUAAGUGGCAGUACCUCUGAGAGAGAAGCCCUGAGUGGUUCUGGACAAGACUGUAACAUGAUUAUAUCACCUCUCCUUUCUAGAUGAAUAUUGGGAAGGAGCUAGGACUGGUUUGGAAGCACCAACGAGAAGCAAAGAUCAUCUACCCACCCUCAAGUUUUAUGGGUAUUUACAUUCAAGUAAAGGAGGCACGAAGGAGUAACUGAUGCAUAGAAAGUGCUCUAUGAGCACACAGGAGAAAGUUCUAAGCUUGAAAAUAAAUGCAACUUAUCCAGUACAUAGCACAGACCCCAAAAUCUACAGCUGUGAGUGUUGCCCAGUAGAUGUGAUUGGAAGGGAGAGUCUCUUGAUACUUUUUGGAUUCGGAGUUUUGGUCAAUUCUACUAGAAUUUCAAGGAUGCAGGAUCUAGACAUAUUUAUGUUUCACAAUUGCCCCAGGUGAUUUUCCUGAAGAGACGAUGUUGAGAAGCUUGAGUUAAGGUGGUGGUUUUUAACCGCAGGUACACAUUAGAAUCAUCUGGGAAGUUUGAAAAAGAGCACUGCCUGGGCUCCCUUCCAGUCUCAUUCAACUAGAAUCUUGCAUUAGUAUUUUUUAAAUAGCUCCCAGGUGAUUCUAAUGGUCAGCCAGGAGUGAAAACCACUGAGUAAAGGGAUUGGCAUGGAAGGGGCAGCUCCAAAAGGAAGCUUAGAGUACAAGUGAAAGAGCAACACUAGAGAUAGGAAGGAAUGCAAAAAAAAAAGUCAUGUUGUGGAAUUACAGGGGCCUUUCAAAGAUGAGUGAAGAUGUGGUCACUUGCUACAAAUGUCACAGAGACACUGACAUGGUAGCUUGAUUUUCGAUUACUGUAAAGGUGGCUGCUGACCCUGAUGAGAAUUGUCAAGAGAUGGUAGGAAGAAGUCAGAUUAUAAUGAAAUAAGGACAGAAUGAAGGAGAGAAAGUGGAGAGAGAGAGUACAGAUUAUUCUUUCAAGAAACUUGCUUUGACUGGAAAAACGUUUGAGAAGGAUGGAGAGUUGGUCAAGAAAGUAUAAGUAGAGGCAAGUGGGGCUAGUAGAUGCAAACUAUUACAUUUAGAAUGGAUAAGCAAUGAGGUCCUACUGUGAAGCACAGGGAACUAUAUCCAAUCUCAUGCUAUAGACCAUGAUGGAAGAAAAUAUAA